rfam:Cephalotus follicularis DNA, scaffold: scaffold696, isolate: St1.
AUACCUUUCUCGGCCUUUUGGCUAAGAUCAAGUGUAGUAUCUGUUCUUAUCAGUUUAAUAUCUGAUAUGUGGAUCAUAGAUUCACACGAUAUUAAAUUAAUUUUUUUAGGGAGAGAGCCCGUUACGGUAGCUUGCUAUCGGGGUUCUUGAGUGUCGUUCGUGUCUUGCACUACUGCAUGGACUUGGCGCAACCCAU